UGGGGAAUAUUGCACAAUGGGCGCAAGCCUGAUGCAGCCAUGCCGCGUGUAUGAAGAAGGCCUUCGGGUUGUAAAGUACUUUCAGCGGGGAGGAAGGGAGUAAAGUUAAUACCUUUGCUCAUUGACGUUACCCGCAGAAGAAGCACCGGCUAACUCCGUGCCAGCAGCCGCGGUAAUACGGAGGGUGCAAGCGUUAAUCGGAAUUACUGGGCGUAAAGCGCACGCAGGCGGUUUGUUAAGUCAGAUGUGAAAUCCCCGGGCUCAACCUGGGAACUGCAUCUGAUACUGGCAAGCUUGAGUCUCGUAGAGGGGGGUAGAAUUCCAGGUGUAGCGGUGAAAUGCGUAGAGAUCUGGAGGAAUACCGGUGGCGAAGGCGGCCCCCUGGACGAAGACUGACGCUCAGGUGCGAAAGCGUGGGGAGCAAAAAGG
rnacentral:rRNA from 1 species